AAUGUCAUGGCCCCAACAAAGCUUUACCCCUUAAGCUUUUAAGACCACAAGUUUCAAAAGUCUUCUUUUUUUAUUAAACUCCGUACCGAGUCAAACUACUCAUCUAAACUGAAACAAAGGGAGUAGCAUUUUGUGUUGAUCCCAAUAUUUUUGAAAAAACAAAUGAGGUGAAGACCAUCUGGACCAUGUUUUUUAUGACGCUUAAAAGAAUUAAUGGCAUGGUGAAUUUUGGAUUGAAGAAGCGGACAUGUAAAGAUUGUAUAGCCACUAGGGAAAGGUGGAAUGCGUUAAGAGUGACUGGGAUAACGGACCAGUGAGGUAGUUGGGUAGUGUAAAUAUGGAUAAAAUAUUGAAUAAAUAUAGAGCGGAUAGUAUUGGGAUCAAAGGACCAAUUGCCCGCCGUAUAUGAGAGAACAUGGAUACGAUUGCGACGACGACAUUGCAUAGUGGAUAGGUGGAAAAACUAGUGUUAGCAUCGCCAUCAUUAAGCCACUGUAUAUGGGCUUAAGUUUCCUGAAAAUCUUCUUCAAUUCUUAGAGUGGCAUUAAAAUCUACAAGAAUUCUAUUUUCAAGGUUAUAGUGAAAAUUAUUUUUAGUAGUAAGAUCCAUUUUUUGUAAGCUAUCUAAUCGAGGCAAGGUAAUGUUUUUCUUAUAAUAGAUGUUACCAAAAGUAUGCUUAUUUCAAUAUUUUAUAUGAUUAGUAAAAUUGUUAAGACCGAAGAAGUAAUCAUGAUUAUCAGCCCAGUUAUUAGCAACUACGUUAGGAAAGUCUGGGUGGUUGAACCACAUGGUUUCUAAGCGGCAAUGAGGGGGUGGUUUAAUGGUUUCCUUAGUGAGAUUAAGCAACAAGCGGCAGUGUCUGAAUAUGUACGGGGAAGAUGUAGUGCGGUAGAGUCGGGGAACAAUGGAGCCAUUCUGGUUAGCAAAAUAUUUAUCGAAUUCUAGAAUUAAGUUAAAAUAUGAUUUUUUUUGUUUGUUGGACCAAGUAAAACGAGAGCCUGUGAAGACAAGAUCUAGCAUAUUGGUAUUAUUCAAAUAGUUAGUGAAGGCAGUAGCAUGAGUAGUAUUAGUAGAGUUGCCUCCAAAUUUGUGUGCAUUUGUAGUCACUUCAUUGAAGUCAUGACAUAGUAGCCAUGCAUGAGUGUGCGAGUGUGCAAAUUGUUCAAGGUUAUUCCAUAAAAUUUGACGAGCAGUAUAUGAAGUACUUGCAUAGAUAAGGAUAAAAACCACUUUGUGGGAAAAGAUGAUACCUGGAUGGAAGCGUGGACUUCCUAUCUAGUAACAAUGAGUAGAUAAGAUUAUCAGCUCAUCAACACGCCAUGAGAUACAGAUUCCCCCGAUGUAACCCUGGGUAGCAACCCGGAGAAGGUCAGUGAAGUGGAAUUCGUUGAGCAAAGAAGUGUGAUCUUCCAUGCGCGGUUUGUGAGGCAGAGGAUCGUAGGGUUAUUCUAAUCAAGCAAGAAGCAGAGAUGGUGUCGAAACUCUAGGCCGUUGGCCCCACAAAAAUUCCAAAGUAAGAUCUUCAUUGGAUUAUUAUUGGUAGGGGAUGAUCUCCCUCCAAAUGCAUGGUGAGAUGGUAAGGGUUCAGCAUGGGCUGCUCGAGCGGCAUGUCUGAUAGCGUAAGGAUAAGGACAAUCACAUAAUUCUAGUCCACAAAGAAGGGGUCAAAGCGGAUAGUGAAAGAAGCCUUGUGCAGAGUCUAUGGAAGAAGAAUCAAGUAUUUUUUUCUAUAUUUUCUAGCAUGGAGAUGCUCAUAUAAUCUACCAGGUUCAAAUUCUUCAUGAACAUCUCUACAGUGUUUUGUGGUGGUGCUUCAUCAUCAAGGGGAGGAAUCUUUGGUAGUGGUAGUGCGGUAGGAGGUGGUAUUUCUGGCAGUAUCGGUGGCAGAGGAUUUAGUUGUUCCUCAUCGGGAAAAGGAGGUAGUGGAAUUUCCUGAGGGUGCUGUGGCAGGUUAUUGAAGUAGGGCUAGUAUGUGGGAGGUGGAUGUGUAGGCCAUUGAUGUUGAUGCUGCUGGAGUUGUUGAGUCUGUUCCUAUGCAUGCGUGAUCUGAGUGCGCAUCUCGAGUGCUCUGAUAUCUUGGAGAUGGAGAUGUGUCAUGACAUGAUCCUGUUGCAAGUAAUCUGGGAUUCUGUUCUGGAUAAAUGUUAUUAGUAGUUCGUUGUUGUUGAGAAGUGUAGAUGUUUAUUGCUGGAGGAGAGGCAAGUUCUAAGAACUAAUUUUUGCGGUAGAGGAUGUGGUUACAUGUUGAUGACUGGAUAGAGAGUGAGGAUGAGCGGGUAGGGGUAAUUGAGGAUAGUGAGGUUGGUGGUUCUGUGGAUAUGGCACCAUGGAGAGUGGUGGAAGAUCAUAGUUGUUAAUGUUGAUGUUGCUAAUGAUCCUGCAUCCCCGAUUGUGUUGGUAGCGUAGUGGGUAGUUGCGAUGCAUGAUGAUGAAGUGGAGAGAAAGUUAGGGAAGUAGAUGAAUUGUAUAGGUGAGUCGUAGUAAGUGUGGUGGUGGUGUGUUUUAUAGAGAGGGAGAGGGAGGGGUGGGUAAUGGAAAUAAUGGCAGUAUUUGAUUGGGAGGUGCAUCUUCGGCUGGCAGUGGAAAUACAACCAAAAUUAAGGCACUAAGAUCCAUGGUUGAAGAUACAUGAGUGCCUACUGAGUCGAUAGGAGGAGUAGUUGUGACAGUGGUAGAUGUUGUGGGGAAAGGUGUGGGAUAUGUGAGAGUGUGUAUGUAAGAAGGACAUUUGGCAGUUUCUGAGGUAGAAGGCAUAGACAAGUGGUUAGUUGAUGAUAGUGUGGAGGAGAAGACGAAGAAGGGCUAAUGUCAGCUCUUGUCUGGGUAGGGGUGAGUGAGGGGUAUUGGAAGAGAGUAGUCUUUUAUUUUUUACACGGUCAUAAGUUGAUUGGAAAUCGAAAUAUGUGUGCCCUAAUAGUGUUAGGGAUGAGGAGUGUGGGAAUCAUUAGAGGGUGAAAUGAGAGUAGAUUUAACAGAGUUAGUAGUAUAGAGAGUCAUUAGUUGGGAAUAGGGUUAGGGAGUGACGCCGUUAAUAGGCGAGGUCGACGUUUUUAGUGGAAUUUGUGGGCGCCGAGAUUUAGUUGUGGCUGAGGGGAUGUAAUGAGCAGUAUUGGGACUUCAAAUCUUAGGUCUAAAGGGGGAAGUAGGGUAGGUGCAUUAUUAUGGGAACGUGUAGUAGUAAUAUCAGGUAUGGAAAGUAGGGUAGGGGAAUGAUUAUCUUCUGAAUUGGCAGUAAUAGGGAAAAUAAAUCUAUUAGUAAUGGGAAUAACACUGUCAUAAUGGAUAGUAGGUAGGGUGUUUUUAAUAUUUUUUGGGUUGUUUAUAGAUGGUGUAUGAAUAUGUGGUAAAGUGUUAGUGGUAAGUUUAGAAGAGGAUAAUUAUUUACAAGUGUUUUAGGGGUAAGUAACUGUUUGCCAAGGGCUUGCGUCAGCCGUUGGUAAAGGUGAUGUAUUGGGAUGGGGCGUAGCUUUUGGAGAUGAUGGUUGUUCUUGGCGAUAGGAGGUGGAAUAAAGUAGAGUGUUGUCCAAUAAAACCACAAGUUUUACAAAUUAGAGUGGCAUCUUUAUAAUGAAUCUACUGUAAAUGGGCGCCUAGGAGGAUUUCAAUGGGCAAAGGUUUGCCUAAAGAAGCUAGGAGGCAUUGUCGUGCGUAUCUUCCUUUGCUUGCAUUAAUGGUACAUCUAUUUAUUUUGAGGAGGAUUUUUAUUAUAUUUCCAAUCUUCUGUAAGAUUUGUAGGUCGUAAUAUUCAGUAGGUAGUUCUUGGAGUCGGAUCCAAAUAGUGGAAAAAUUGAGGUAAGCUGUUGCUGGGUAAACUUUGGUUUCCAUUGGCGGAUUGAAAGGUAUUGGGAGCCAAUGAACCAUGGCCCUUGUUGUAAGAAUUUUUUAUAGUUGUCUUUAUGGAAAAGUUUGAUAAGGUAAUAUUCGUAACCUAAGUCAAUAAUAUUGAGGGGGUUCUGCUAGUUGCCAAAGGGCGGUUAGUUUAUUUUUAAGGUAAUUAUACUCUACUUUGGGUCCAAGUAGUUUAAUGACGACUGUCUGUUGUUAUAGUUGGUAUAAACGAGUUUUAUCAUUCGUAGUGAUAGCAAUGAAAUGGGGAAGAUGUAGUGGGUUGUCUUGUUCGUCAUCAAAGCUUAGUUUACGAAGAGAGUCAGCUUUAAAAUCCAUGGUGUCAAAGAAUGCAUUGGGAAUGAGUUUGUCUUGAAAACUUACUUGGUCAGGAAAUCAGUUGUCAUAAAUGGAGUCUUUGGGUUUGUUGGUACAGUGGUGCAGCUGAUCUUGCUCAUGUUCUAUAGUUUGGAUUCCGAUGUUUUUAUCAUGAUCUGGGUACAAGGGGUUGAGAUAUGAUGGAAACAAUACUUCUCACUCUAAGGUAGAGAAGACGGAGAAUAUUGAAACUUUUUCGCAUGAGAUAUGGUAAUUUUGCUCCUCAAAAUCUACAAUAACAAUGACUAGUUCUAUUUCUUUUCUAGGCUUGUUCGUUCAUUCUUUUCAUUUUUUUUGUUUUUUGUUUUCUGUUAUUGCUAUAUUUUUUAAAAAAAAUGGAUGCUGAUUAAAACUAACUAGUUCAGGUUGAUGGUGAAGUUUGAAAAAGGUAUGGUUUGUUAAAAGGUUUGAAGAGGGUUGAAUUUGGGGAAGAAGAAUAGAGAAAAUAUAGGUAAAAUUGGAGUCUAAUAUAUUAUAUUGUAACCAAGCUCUGGCGAUAAGGCGACGACUAGGAGACCACUGAUCUCGAAGCUCUCAUGAAGCCUUUAAUGGCUGCUCUGGCCACUAGCCAGCCUCCUCUUGAGGCUGGUCAGUCGUCCUUACCAUCCCCACACCCACAUAUGACCUCUACAAACCCUAAUCUACCCACAAACUACGCAAAAUUACUACAACCAAGUUUAUUAAAUGCCCUCAUGCAAACCCCACCCCUCGUGCCCAUAAAACUAGUAGAAUAUCUUUAUAGGGAGCCUGUAAAUUAGAGGAAGAAGUCAGAAGUGAAGCAAUAAAUCGUGAAACAACGCUUGCAACUCGUAGUCUUGGGAAAAUUUUCAUACGGGAAGCCAGUGAUACAAGAGCUACGUAAGGUGAUUCCAAUUCAAUGUGAACUUAAAGGAGCAUGCUCAAUUGGCCUUACUGAAGAUAAUCAUGUUUUUAUCAGGCUAUCAUUGAUGGAAGAUUAUGUUCAUCUACUUUCUAAGUCUGCCUUCUACCUAAAAGCCCAAGGAGAGAUGUGGCAGAUGAGAUGUGCGAAGUGGAACCCUUGGUGGAAGCCUGAAGAGGAGACUCCUAUUACUUUUGCUUGGAUUAGUUUUCCAGAGUUGUCACCUAACUUCUUUGGUAAGGAAUUCAUGUUUUCAUUAGCAAGAGCAGUAGGUAAUCCUUUACAUGUUGAUUUAGCAUCACAAAAUGGUACUAGACCUAGUUGUGCAAAGGUGAAAGUGGAGGUGAAUUUGAUUGCUAAAUUUCCUCAAAGAAUUAAAAUGGUUGAAGAAGAGGAUAAAACUGGGCCGAAAGAAUCUAAAUGUAUUAAAAUCAAGUAUGAUUAUCUUCCAAAAUAUUGUAAGACUUGUAAGAAACAAGGUCACAAUGAAGUUGAUUGUUGGGUGAUUCAUCCUGAGUUGCAUAAGAAGUAUGAAGUAGCUAUUUGAAAAUCAAAGUAUUGGGAAGGAGAUAGUUGGUACUACAGCUGCAUCAACUAAGGUCCUCACACAUGGAAAAGUAGUAGGGAAACCAAUUGCAAACACUGCAAGCAGGAGUGGAUGCAAAGAAGAAAGAAUAGGUAUCAAAAGGAUAGUAUAAGCCAUAUAAUUGAAGCUGCAAAAGAACAAGGAGUUGGCAAUGUCAAAGGGAAGAACAAUGCUGAAACAGUUACUAUAAAAAACAAGUUAGAUGCUCUUGAGGUUGAAGAGAUUAAGCAACCCAUUUUACAAAUUACGGAUGGCAAAAGAGAUAACACUGUUAAAGAAAAGGAGAAGUAACAACUGGUAAAUGAAUCCAACAAGGACAAAGAGAAGAAGCAACAGGAGAAUGUGCCACAUUCCAGUCCAAAUCCUAAAGGAAAUGGGAGUUCUACUGUAGCGGCUAAAGAAAUCAUCCCUAACUCUAAUCCUAAUGCAUUUGGAAUUGGGGUAGACACGCAAAAGGAAAGAACUAUGGAUUGGGUUCAAACAAGGUUUGGAACUACUAAAGAGGUACUUAAUGUGAUAACUAACCAUUCUUGUCAAGAAGUUCCUUCACACACGAUGGGAGGCUCUUCAAGGGCAGUUGAUAUCACAGGAACAACAAAUGGUGGUAGCUCAAAGGGAAUUGGAACAACUGAUGCAACAAGCAAUAGAUGCACAUCAUGGGGUGAAAGAAGUUGAGGAGAUGGAGUUAAACAAUUCUCACAGCAAUGAUCAUGCAAAGAAGCAUGGCAUAGUAGAUUCACAUGCUACAGUAAACCCUAGGAUGCAUGAAACUAGGGUUAAAACUUGUGAUCAAACCACAGUGGUCUACUGCUAUAAUAAACCCUAAUCUGUGUUCAGUCUAUGAAUUGAAUUUCAAGGUGAUGUGGGAUACUUUUGGAGCAAUGGAACAACAUAACCAGGGGUUGAAGGAGGUGACUAGGGUGUCAAUGAGCAGGACAUUAUUCCUAAGGCUUCAGGUGCAAUCGAUGCAUUGCUGAUGGUCUGUGCCUUAGGAACUAGGCAGCCUUUGCAGCUUCAAAUUAAUGUCCCAUUGAAGUCACCUAACCAAAUACUACAUGACAUUAUCACUCACAAUGUGGCACCUAUGGACCUUCAGGAUGUAGAGGUAGAAUAAGGUGAGAUUGAGAAAGAGGGAGAAGGUGAAUAUACUGUAGGAAAUUUCAAGGCAGUUGCUAGAGAUUCAGACUUAUCACCAAGAGUUGCAGGCAGAAGUGGUAAGAAGGUCAAGAAGAAUGGUCAAGUUCAAGAAGUACCUCAACCUAUAAGAAUUAUGCCCGAGAGGGCAGUCUCAGUUACCAAAUGAUGGUCAAGACCUUGAUAUGGAACAUAAGAUCUGUUAAAACUCAACAGGCCUUUCAAAGAGUGAUUAAUAUGCAUAGGGAACAUGGAUUCUUUGUGGUUGCUUUGAUAGAACCUUUUCAGAACUCAAGACAUAUUCAAAGAUACAGAAGAAGACUUAAUAUGGAUGCUGCUAUGUAUAACAUUAAUGGGAAGAUUUGGCUUUUCUUUGAUGCUACUGUAGUGUAGGAAUUAGUGAUGGAUACUGAACAACAGGUGAUUAUCAAACUGUAUCAUCAAGAUAUUGGCCAAUACAUCAUGUUUACUUUUGUAUAUGCUAAAUGUUCUUCAUUUGAGAGGCUGGAAUUGUGGGAUAAUCUAUAUUAUAUUGCAAGUGAUAUGGAGUUGCCUUGGGUUGUUGUUGGUGAUUUCAAUGUUGUGCUACAUGAAGAUGAGAAUAUUGGGGGACGACCAGUUCACCCUCCUGACUAUGAAGACUUUGCCUUUUGUGCGAACUCUUGUGGGGUGUUUGAUUUAGGCUACAAAGGAAGUCCAUUCACCUUAUGGAAUAGUAAACCAAAUGUUGAGUGUAUCUUUAAGAGGCUUGAUAGAGUGUUUGUGAAGUUACCAUUCCAGAAUCUAUUCUCUACCAUUGAUGUUGAAUAUCUAAUAUGGACUGGAUCAGAUUAUGCCCCUCAAUUCAUGAGUUGUGGUGAACAAGCUGCUAACUUCAUUAAGCCUUUUAAAUUCCUGAACUUGUGGAACAAACAUGAAGCAUUUAAGGAAGUGGCUAGGCAAAACUGGAUUGCUGACUUUAUUGGAGAUCCAUAUCUCAUGUUCAAGCAAAAGCUAAAGAGGGUAAAGAUUGCACUAUUUAAAUGGAUCAAAGAGAUAUAUAGAGACAUAUUUAAACAACUUGCUAUUGGGGAAUAUAUUGUAAAGGUGAAGGAGAUGCUUUUUGAAGAAGAACCUACAGUUGAGAAUAGAAUAGUGCUUCAAAAAGCACAAGCUGAAUUGAAAAGAUACUUAAUCAUAGAAGAGUAAUACUGGAAGAAGAAGGCUGGGAUGACAUGGUUUGCUGAAGGAGAUAGGAAUACAAGAUUCUUCCACAAUCAUGUUAAUGGCAAGAGACAGAAGCUGCAAUUGAAAAGAAUAUAAAAAGGGGAUGGAGUCUGGGUUGAAAGCCAAGAUGAUAUAGCUGCUACUGUGGAACUACCAGAGGCAAUUCAUGAAAGAAGCUAAUCAUACUGACUUCACUCUACUAGAAAAUGUGCCUGCUAUGGUGAAUAUAGAGCAGAAUCUGGAAUUAUGUAGAUAUCCUACUCUUGAAGAAGUCAAGGUUGUUGUGUUUGAACUUAGUGGGGAGAGUGCUGGUGGUCCUAAUGGAUUAACUGGUACUUUCUAUCAAGUAUGUUGGGACAUCAUUGGUAUUGAUAUUCAUAACAUAGUAUUGCACUUCUUUGGGGGAGCACCACUGCCUAAAUCUAUCACACACACUAACCUUGUGUUACUUCCAUAAAAGCCUAUGGUUUAGACUUUCUCAUAUUUGAGACCCAUAAUCUUGAACAAUUUCAUCAACAAUGUGAUGUCUUGAGUCGGACAUGAUAGACUGGAAAAGUUCUUGCCUUCUUUGAUAUCCUCCAACCAGUCUGGCUUUGUGAAAUGAACAAGUCUUUUUGAAAACAUACUCCUCACUCAGGAGAUUAUUACUAAUAUCAGGUUAAAGGGCAAGUUUGCCAAUGUAGUGAUUAAAUUAGACAUGGCUAAAGCAUAUAAUAGGGUAUCUUGGAAAUACUUACUUCAUAUGUUAAGGCAGAUGGCAUUUGCUGAACAUUUUAUCAUCAUGAUAUGGAAUUUGUUGUCAAAUAAAUGGUACUCAAUCUUGGUAAAUGGCCAAUCUUCAGGCUUCUUUCAGUCUACUAGAGGGGUAAAGCAAGGAGAUCUAUUAUCUCCUGCAUUAUUCAUACUGUCAGUAGAAGUGUUGUCUAUAUCAUUGAACAAAUUGUUUGAUGACAAUUCUUUUAGGGGUUUUGGAAUGAUAAAGUGGACUGAUCAAUUGAACCAUCUUGCAUAUAUCGAUGACACAAUUAUCUUCGCCUCAGCUCAUCCAGAUUCAUUGAAGAAUAACAUGGCAGUGUUGUAUGGAUAUGAGAAGAUCUUCGACCAGCUCAUCAACAAGGCAAAGAAUUCCUCUUAUAUGCACUCUAAUGUGGCAACUACUUUGGUUCAAACAAUUAGCGAUAUUACUGGAUUUUCUAAGGGUGAAUUCCCUUUCAUCCACUUAGGGUGUUCAAUAUUCUAUACCAGGAGAAGAAAAGACUACUAUGAUGAUCUAGUAAAGAAGGUAAAGGCCAAGCUGCACUUAUGGAAAGGAAAGUUGUUAUCUUAUAGAGGCAAGGCUACACUGAUCAGUAGUGUGCUUCAAAGCAUACCGGUGCACUUACUCUCAAUUCUGGUUCCUCCUAAAAACAUAGUGGAACACUUGCAUAAGUUAAGUGCAAGGUUCUUCUGGAGCAAUAAGGAAUGAGGGAGGAGUAGACAUUGGUCCUCAUGGCAGAAGCUUUGUCUCCCAAAGGAGGAAGGAGGGUUAGGAUUCAGAUCCUUGUUUGAUGUAUCUAGGGCAUUGUUUGUAAAGCUAUGGUGGAGAUUUAGGACCACAAAGUCAUUGUGGUCAAAAUUUAUGUGGAACAAAUAUUGCAAGAAAAAGAUACCAACAAUGGUAUAAUUUAGGCAAGGUUCUCAUGUUUGGAGGCAAAUGCUAAAUGCUAGGCAAGAGGUGGAGCAUAAGAUUUGGUGGGAGAUGAAGUGUGGUACUGCAAAUGUUUGGCAGAAAAACUAGAUUGGGUUAGGAGCUUUAUAUCAUGUAGUGCCACCUGAUUUUCACAUCAAUGAGGACUUACAAGAAGUGGCAGACUUGAGGCAAUGAGAUGAUUGGAAUGAGCAGAUAGUUGAAAAAUCCUUUCUUGAGGAUACUGUAGAACAUAUUAUACAGCAGGUGCCGUUUGAAGAGACUGGAGGUUACUGGGACAAGCCUUGGUGGAGACCUACAACCUCAGGAAAGUUCAUAGUCAGUAGUGCAUGGAAACUAGUGAGACAUAGGGCAAACAUUAAUCAGGAAUUCAAGCAUAUAUGGAUUAAAGUUCUACCUUUCAAGAUCUCUUUCUUUCUUUGUAGGCUAUGGAUAUACAAAUUGGAUACUAAUGAUAUAUAUGUCUAGGUGUUGGUGUUGCCAAGCUCCACAAGAGGAAUCAUUUGAUCAUUUGUUCCUGUUAGGCCAUACUGUUACUAGAGUUUAGAGGACAUUUAUGAAUGCUGCAAGGCUUAAUUUUCAGCUAGUAUAGGUGCAUCAAGUUAUUAGAGAGUGGUGGAAUGCUGCAUGCUGCCCAAAACUUAAGCCAUUAUAUCAAGUUGUGCCAGCUAUUGUCACUUGAGAGCUUUGGAAGAUGAGAAAUACAAAUAGAAAUGGUGGCUCAGUAUCUGUUACUAGAGUGAUUAAUGAGAUCAACAAGACCUUACACUUCUUAGCAAAGACAAGGUAUAAUUGGCUUCCUGGUAUUCCCUAUCUUUUGCCAGACAUGAUCAAGUUCUUUGAAGGAUACAAGCUAGAGUUGGUGACUAGAAGGGUGAAUUGGCAGCUGCCUUAUAAAGGAUGGUAUAGUGCAAUAUUGAUAGAGUUUCAAGAGGUAAUCUAGGACCUAGUUCUAUAGGCUUCUAUGUGAGGGAUAGUGAAGGUGAUUUGGCAUAUGCACGAGCAAAGCAACUGGAGGACACAACAAAUAUUGUUGUUGAGGCUAAGGUAAUUGAAGAAGGCUUAGCAUAUUGUGUAGCUCAUGAGCUGCACCCUCUCAUAUUGGAAACCAAUUCAUUGGGAUUGAAGGAAAAUGGGAUCCACCAUGGUGUUUUAUAGCUGAAGUGAAGAGGAUACAAUAGAUGAAGGAGCACUUUAAUGUGCUAUUACAACAUGUACUAAGGGAGGGAAAUAUUGUAGCAGACUUUUUAUCUAACCUUGUGUUUUCUUUUGCAGGUAUAAUCCAGUUUCACUCUUUCUCUGAACUUCCAAGUACAGGGAGGAGACUAAUAAAUCUUGAUAAGUCACAAACUCCUAAUCUUAGGGUUAGGAUUGCUAAAAGAAGAGCUCCUGAUUGAUGAAGUUUGGAUGUUUGCAUAUGCAUGCUACUUGGAUGCUUGGUCAGCCCCAGAAACUGAUGGUGUUGCUUGGAGAUUUACAUUUGCCUUGUCCUAUGGAAUGCAAAACUUGGUGCCUAGUAAGAGCUUUGGAGGUGCUACAUUGAGGUUUUGCACUUGGCUUAUAGAUACACUCAUCACCAUAUGUUGGGAGUUGUCUAUUUUAUCACUUGUAAUAGUUAGGUUUCAUAGUGUAGCCAGCUUUAGCUUUACAUCCUUUAGCUUUGUUCUUUGGACAAAUUGUAAAUAUUGGAUUCUAGUUUUGAAUUAUUAUUUAUAUAUUA